AUUGAACGCUGGCGGCAUGCCUUACACAUGCAAGUCGAACGGUAACGGGCCUUCGGGUGCCGACGAGUGGCGAACGGGUGAGUAAUACAUCGGAACGUGCCCGAUCGUGGGGGAUAACGAGGCGAAAGCUUUGCUAAUACCGCAUACGAUCUACGGAUGAAAGCAGGGGACCGCAAGGCCUUGCGCGGACGGAGCGGCCGAUGGCAGAUUAGGUAGUUGGUGGGAUAAAAGCUUACCAAGCCGACGAUCUGUAGCUGGUCUGAGAGGAUGAUCAGCCACACUGGGACUGAGACACGGCCCAGGCUCCUACGGGAGGCAGCAGUGGGGAAUUUUGGACAAUGGGCGCAAGCCUGAUCCAGCCAUGCCGCGUGCAGGAUGAAGGCCUUCGGGUUGUAAACUGCUUUUGUACGGAACGAAAAGCCUUCUUUUAAUACAGGAGGGUCAUGACGGUACCGUAAGAAUAAGCACCGGCGAACUACGU
rnacentral:rRNA from 1 species